UUUUUUUUUUUUUUUUUUUUUUUUUAUUGCCCUUGUAGGCAGACGAGCAUACGGCCCACCUGAUGGUGAGUGGUUACCGUUGCCCAUGGACUUCAGCAAUGCCAGGGGCAGAGCCAAGCCGCUGCCUACCAAUUCGUACUGCCGAUCUCCAUGAGUGACCGCAAUCAAAUGGGCAUGCAGUCCGUAUGCCUUCGACGAUUUUUAAAGAGCAGAAAUUCCAAAUGAGUUGGUACACAUUUCUUUAGUUCAACAGUAAUAAUUAAAUAAAUAACGGACCCAAGUAUCCAUCGUACAAGAUAUUUUUUUCUUCUUCAAUUAACUAAAAACAUCGGUCUUGCGGACGAUAUAAACGAUAUUUUUCUGAAAAUUAUAUUAGUGUACGAAUUCAUUCAUCGUCAUAUUAAUAUGUCGUUGGAAUCAAAUUGAUAAUGUAUCCUGAUAGUAAAACGACAUAUUUACGACAAUGAAAAAUUAAUCGCCUAUUGUUCCAUUUGUACAUUGUUCCGUCAUUAGUGUUAGCGUGAGGUUACAGGUUAGUUUAAUUCAAGUAAUAAACUAUGGGACGUGUUUACGUCGUACGAACAAAGUCCAACAGAACGUAAAUAAGAAGUCGGCUGUUUCCGUCGGUCUUCGUGAGAGUUCGGAUCAAAACAACGCGGCGUUGCUGCGCGCGCGCUCUGAACGGCGGCGACAGUGACUGUUUGUUUCGCCGUUUCGCUCGAUACAUACAAAACCAUCACAGCUCAAAACUGUUUCAUAUCUGACUGCAUUAUCGACCGGCGUGCGCGUUUUAAGUACGGGAGAGUAAUUUACUAAAUAUACAAAAUGGAUACGAAUAAAAAUAUACCGAAAAAUAGCACGCAAGCCGCUGGCUACAACCCUUGGAACUUGCUUUUUAGCACGAGACGUCGUACGGAAAGUGAAAACAGUGUCAGCUCAAACACAUCGUCGACUUCUUCAGGUUUGACGUAUGUGGGACUAUCGAAACAACCAAAUAAAAACGAGGAAUACUUGUGGAUGAUGUGGCGUUCGUAAUUGCACGCUGAUCGAGGCAUUGGUCAAUGGCGAAGCAGCGGCAACAAACAAAAUACAGACUAUUAUAGUUAUUACUAGCAUUACGUAUUGCAGUAUGUGUUUGGCAACUUCAGUACACAGCAUUCUAUGAACAAUGUUCGAACAGAUAGCGUUUCUGCCCACGUGGUUCCUGAUGGCGUGGCUGGGGGUCUGCGUCCUCUUCAGUCCGUUCGCUGUAUUCUUCGUGGUGUGUCUACCGCAACUACCGCUCCUAGUCGUUAGGAGAGCAUGUCAUAUACCAUUCGAAUAUAUUUAAUAUUAACGGGUUAAUUUUUAUAUUAAAAUGAUCUAGUUUUUAAGAGAUUUUGUAAAAAAAACUGUAAAUAAAUUUAAUGAAUAAAUGUUUUUUUUUAUGA